GCAGCUCCACGUCGACAUUCUUCCAGCUGCAUAUAGUGAACUGCACAGGACUGGGGGAAGAAGGGGUGAAAGCGGCGGUCGCCACCUCACGAUUGGAGCGAGGCAAGCUCCGCAGACGGACACGAGCCGCGGUGGAAACAGGCGUUGGGCACCGGGAACCCGGGCCGCGGACCCGGCGAUGUCCGCAGAUCGCCUUCUGCCCUGCAUUUUGUGAUCCAGACUCUCUCCCCCCUCGUGUUGGUUGGAUUGCAGCCGGUGCCCUUGCGUCUAUACCUACACCAGGUUGAAGGAGCACCCGGUCGCAAGGAGGAUAAGUCUCGACACAAGGACAAACCUAUGAGGUGGCACUCUGGCUUUCCAAAUAAAGUUCUGUGAUACACUUAGACUCUAGCUGCCUGCAGUCAGUGCAUUACAGAACUUUGUUUUGGGAGUUAAUAUUUAGCCUGUGGGGAAUAGAUCCUCAAACAUCUGGACAUUAUACAUUUACAGCAGAAUGUGAUCAUUUUGAUGAUGAAUGACUGUUUUUUUUGUGGUUUUUUUUCAAAUAAAGUUUCUCCCUGUUUAA